rnacentral:rRNA from 1 species
AGUGAACGCUGGCGGUAGGCCUAACACAUGCAAGUCGAACGGCAGCACAGUAAGAGCUUGCUCUUACGGGUGGCGAGUGGCGGACGGGUGAGGAAUACAUCGGAAUCUACUUUUUCGUGGGGGAUAACGUAGGGAAACUUACGCUAAUACCGCAUACGACCUACGGGUGAAAGCAGGGGAUCUUCGGACCUUGCGCGAUUGAAUGAGCCGAUGUCGGAUUAGCUAGUUGGCGGGGUAAAGGCCCACCAAGGCGACGAUCCGUAGCUGGUCUGAGGAUGAUCAGCCACACUGGAACUGAGACACGGUCCAGACUCCUACGGGAGGCAGCAGUGGGGAAUAUUGGACAAUGGGCGCAAGCCUGAUCCAGCCAUACCGCGUGGGUGAAGAAGGCCUUCGGGUUGUAAAGCCCUUUUGUUGGGAAAGAAAAGCAGCAGGUUAAUACCCCGCUGUCCUGACGGUACCCAAAGAAUAAGCACCGGCUAACUUCGUG